rnacentral:rRNA from 1 species
GUGAGGAAUAUUGGUCAAUGGGCGAGAGCCUGAACCAGCCAAGUCGCGUGAAGGAUGAAGGUUUUAUGAAUUGUAAACUUCUUUUGCAGGGGAAUAAAGUACGGUACGUGUACCUUUUUGUAUGUACUCUGCGAAUAAGGAUCGGCUAACUCCGUGCCAGCAGCCGCGGUAAUACGGAGGAUCCAAGCGUUAUCCGGAUUUAUUGGGUUUAAAGGGUGCGCAGGCGGGUUGAUAAGUCAGCGGUGAAAGUUUGCAGCUUAACUGUAAAAUUGCCGUUGAAACUUUCGAUCUUGAGUGCAAAUGAGGUAAGCGGAAUGUGUUGUGUAGCGGUGAAAUGCUUAGAUAUAACACAGAACACCGAUUGCGAAGGCAGCUUACUGGGAUGCAACUGACGCUCAUGCACGAAAGCGUGGGGAUCAAACAGGAUUAGAUACCCUGGUAGUCC